CCUACGGGAGGCUGCAGUGAGGAAUAUUGGUCAAUGGGCGGAAUCCUGAACCAGCCAUGCCGCGUGCAGGACGACGGCUCUACGAGUUGUAAACUGCUUUUGUACCGGGGUAAAAUGCUCUACGAGUAGGGUUUUGCAAGUACGGCACGAAUAAGGAUCGGCUAAUUCCGUGCCAGCAGCCGCGGUAAUACGGAGGAUCCGAGCGUUAUCCGGAUUCAUUGGGUUUAAAGGGUGCGUAGGCUGUUUUAUAAGUUAGCGGUGAAAUACCGAUGCUCAACAACGGGGCUGCCGCGAAUACUGGAGGACUAGAGAGCGGAUGCGGCAGGCGGAAUGUGUAGUGUAGCGGUGAAAUGCAUAGAUAUUACACAGAACACCGAUUGCGAAGGCAGCUUGCUGGGCCGGAUCUGACGCUGAUGCACGAAAGCGUGGGGAUCGAACAGGAUUAGAUACCCCAGUAGUC
rnacentral:rRNA from 1 species